GCUUCUUGAUCCAAAAGAUACCACACAUUUUCAGUCGGAUUGAGAUCAGAUGAUUGCGUAGAGUGUUCAGUCUUUGGAGAACUUCACAUAAGAUGCCCUCCUGUUUCAUAUCCGAAUUUAUGUUUUAAAACUACAGUCAUCUGUAAAGAAAAGCGACAGACAUGUAUCAUAUUCUUCUUCCUGCUCUAAUGAAGCAGAAAUGGAAUUGAAGAAAAUGCUGCUGAAUCUCUGAAGGAAUACAGCAUUUAUCAACGGAAUCGCUAAAGGGAAUCAUUGUUUUGAAUCUGUUGUUAAAGGUCUCGUUACGAAAUUUCCUCAACAAAAGAAAUAAAAAUCUGCUUGUAAUUCUUUUACUGAUUGAUUUUUUAGUACAAAUAUCGAAUUAGAAUUUA